rnacentral:misc_RNA from 1 species
UCCGGUUUGACACCGGCAGUCUCCCUAGAGUGCCCGGCAUAACCCGCUGGUAACUAGGGACGAGGGUUGCGCUCGUUGCGGGACUUAACCCAACAUCUCACGACACGAGCUGACGACAGCCAUGCAGCACCUGUGCACGGACUCCGAAGAGGGGCCGAUGUUUCCACCGGCUUUCCCCAAGAUGUCAAGCCCAGGUAAGGUGGGGAUGACGUGCAGGAACACCAAC